rnacentral:rRNA from 1 species
AUGAACGCUGGCGGCAUGCUUAACCCAUGCAAGUCGAACGGGAAGUGGUGUUUCCAGUGGCGAACGGGUGAGUAACGCGUAAGAACCUGCCCUUGGGAGGGGAACAACAACUGGAAACGGUUGCUAAUACCCCGUAGGCUGAGGAGCAAAAGGAGAAAUCCGCCCAAGGAGGGGCUCGCGUCUGAUUAGCUAGUUGGUGAGGUAAUAGCUUACCAAGGCGAUGAUCAGUAGCUGGUCCGAGAGGAUGAUCAGCCACACUGGGACUGAGACACGGCCCAGACUCCUACGGGAGGCAGCAGUGGGGAAUUUUCCGCAAUGGGCGAAAGCCUGACGGAGCAAUGCCGCGGGGAGGUGGAAGGCCUACGGGUCGUCAACUUCUUUUCUCGGAGAAGAAACAAUGACGGUAUCUGAGGAAUAAGCAUCGGCUAACUCUGUG